CAGCAGCCACGGGAACACGUAGGGUGCGAGCGUUAAUCGGAAUUACUGGGCGUAAAGCGGGCGCAGACGGUUACUUAAGCAGGAUGUGAAAUCCCCGGGCUCAACCUGGGAACUGCGUUCUGAACUGGGUGACUUGAGUGCAGAAGAGGAGAGUGGAAUUCCACGUGUAGCGGUGAAAUGCGUAGAGAUGUGGAGGAACACCGAUGGCGAAGGCAGCCCCCUGGGCCAAUACUGACGCUCAUGCACGAAAGCGUGGGGAGCAAACAGGAUUAGAUACCCCUGUAGUCCCUGUCUCUUAUAA
rnacentral:rRNA from 1 species